ensembl:lncRNA novel transcript
AGCCUCUCUUCCCUCCCUGGAGGGUGGGGAGUGGGACCCCAGGUUCCUAGCUUCUCAUUGCAUGGGUGGUUCCUCCGGUCUUGAAGCUAUUUAGGGGGCAUCAGUGUCAUUUCAUUAGCGUAAACCCAGAGUCUUGCUCUGUCACCAGGCUGGAGUGCAGUGGUGAGAUCUCGGCUGACUGCAACCUCUACCUCCCAGUUUCAAGCAGUUCUCCUGCCUCAGCCUCCCGAGUAGCUGGGACUACAGGUAGAGACACUUUUGACUUGAUCUCUGCAGUCCUCAACAUGAUUGAGCUGGAAACAGAAACUUCUGCAGUGUUAGACCAGCGAGGUUCCAGUGCUGCUCCUCCCACCAGCCAGCCUUCCCUGACAGCCAUCUUCUAUCCCAAGGGCAGCCAUCUUCUAUCCCAAGGGCAGCCAUCUUCUAUCCUGAGGGAAGCUGGCCUGAGGAUGAAGCCAGAAUAUGGAGAAGAGGAGAAGGAGAUGGCUGAGAAGCAGAACGGAAACCUGAACUGCAUUUUUCUUAGAGCAAGAAUUACAUCAAUUCUUCAAGCCAAGUUGAGCACUGUUGGUUUCUGCUACUUGGAACUGAAUAAACUCUGACAGAUACUGUACAGGGAACAGUACUUGGGGAGCUCCACUUCAUCUGAGGCCUUCGUGAGUGGCUUGUGUCACAUUCCUGGCUGUUCAGGCAUCAGUCCUGGUUUCCUGGUGAGCUCUCUGCUGACUCCACCCAGAGCUCCCUUGCUUCCGUCUCUGCAGCAGCUACCUCCGUUCUCACACAUGGCUUCUUCUGAGUUUUCUUAUUUCAGCCAGUACCAUGGAACUCUCCUGACCUUGUGGGCUUUGGGCAGAAAUAACUCCACUCCCCACUUCUCUCCUAAAUUACUGGCAAUGGUGAUACUGACCAUGCAGGGAGAAACCUGAGCUGUUAAUGCUAGGAGCGUCAAGCUGUUGGUAGUGAAGCCAUCAUCCUCUCCAAGUUCCCAGAUACUUCUUUGUGAAAAUGAUGCACCAGACUCUCAUUUGUCAUCACUGGGAUUACUGUGAUCUUGUCUUGAAUUUCUACGAGUUUCACAUCCACGGUGGUAACUUAACCUGUCACUGUCUUGUUGCCUACACCUGCAUUACCCAGAACUACAGCCCAGGCACAGGCCCCUUCCAGGAUUCAGGUGGUCUCCAGAAAUUUCUUUUAGAAUGUAAUAAAUGCUUAAAGAAGAAUUAUACUGUGAGUAGAACAGCAUGCAGCCUGGCACUUAGCAAGUGAUCGAGAAAUAAUUCAUGAGUGAAUGAAUGAACAGAUGACAGAUGUAACCAAAAAUCAAAACUAAAAUCACUUCUGAAGUCGAGGAUGCACUUCUCAAUGGUGUGAACUUUAAAAGGUCAAAAAGUAAAUAUGUCCUUAUUUGGAAAAUAAGACAUGUUUCUUGUGAGGAAUAUUGGCCGAUCCAGAAAAAAA